rnacentral:tRNA from 2 species
GUCCCGGUAGCUCAGUUGGAUAGAGCAAGCGCCUCCUAAGCGCUAGGUCGCAGGUUCGACUCCUGCUCGGGACACCA